rnacentral:rRNA from 1 species
UACGAAGGUCCCAAGCGUUAUCCGGAUUUAUUGGGUUUAAAGGGUGCGUAGGCGGGUUAUUAAGUCAGUGGUGAAAGCCUUCAGCUUAACUGAAGAAUUGCCAUUGAUACUGAUGAUCUUGAGUAUGAUUGAGGUGGGCGGAAUGUGUCAUGUAGCGGUGAAAUGCUUAGAUAUGACACAGAACACCGAUUGCGAAGGCAGCUCACUAAGCCAUAACUGACGCUGAUGCACGAAAGCGUGGGGAGCAAACAGGAUUAGAUACCCUGGUAGUCCACGCCCUAAACGAUGAUCACUCGAUGUGUGCGAUACACUGUACGCGUCUGAGCGAAAGCAUUAAGUGAUCCACCUGGGGAGUACGACCGCAAGGUUGAA